AAUCAACGCUGGCGGCGUGCCUCAGACAUGCAAGUCGAACGCGAAAGUCCCCUUCGGGGGACAAGUAGAGUGGCGCACGGGUGAGUAACACGUAGGUAAUCUACCUUCGGGUGGGGAAUAACGCAGGGAAACUUGCGCUAAUACCGCAUAAUGCAGCGGCACCACACGGUGACAGUUGUUAAAGCGGGGGAUUUUCGGACCUCGCGCCUGAAGAGGAGCCUGCGGCAGAUUAGCUAGUUGGUAAGGUAACGGCUUACCAAGGCGACGAUCUGUAGCCGGCCUGAGAGGGCGGUCGGCCACACUGACACUGACAUACGGGUCAGACUCCUACGGGAGGCAGCAGUCGGGAAUUUUGGGCAAUGGGCGAAAGCCUGACCCAGCAACGCCGCGUGAAGGAUGAAAUCCCUCGGGAUGUAAACUUCGCAAGAAUAGGAAGAAUGAACGAGCGCUAACACCGUUCGUGAUGACGGUACUAUUUGUAAGCUCCGGCUAACUCCGUGCCAGCAGCCG
rnacentral:rRNA from 1 species